UGAAGCUAGCCCCAAUUGCUUGCCUAAAAUGCAUUCCCCCCCCCCCAAUUGUCACUGGUCACUCAAAUCCUGCUGGCCCCCCACUUGAAGCUGUCACUAGAACCCUGUCUGCCCCGCACCCACAGUGGAACCCUUCCUCCCACACCCUCCAGCCCAGGCUGGCAUCUCUGCUUUUCCCCCACCUGUUUCUCUGCACCACAUCCUAUGUUUUUGAAAAAGUUAGCAAGAAUAAAGGGGAUAAAUGCCCACUUUUGCCAAAGAAGUCAAGAUGGCUGGGACUGGGCUUAAUAAAGGGACUGUCACAGCCAAAACAGAACAUGUAAUCACCCUAUAAAACACCAUCUUUCCUUCGCACAGUUUGUAAUCCACCCACUGCUACACUGGGCUAGCACAUAACCCAGGAAGUGAAAGGAUUAGAAAUAAAGGUACAACUGUGGGCAUGGCUUCACUACAGCUGACUAGCUUCCCUCAACCUAGCCAGAUCUAGGUCAGCUUAACUACAGCACUCAGUGUGAAUAUUUCACACCUCUGAGCAACAUAGCUAUGUCAAUUAUAGACAUAGACUAGACCUAACUCAAGUUCAUGGCUCCUAGUGAAUGAUCUGCUGAAAGAAAGAAAGAAAAAAAACCCACAAACAAAAACAGUAAAGAUACCCAAAAGUAAAUUUUAUAAUCAACUUUAAUAAAAAACUUGUGUUCCUUUAAAUACACCUUUCAUUACCAAGGAAAGAGAUUUCCCCUACUCCAUCUGAGACACUUGUCAGAUUUGCCUUCACAUAUUUUUUUAUUUGUACUUUUGUAAUUACUUUCCAUACUUUAGCUGUUUCUUCCUCAAAAGAGCUUUCAUAUUUAAGAGCAGCAUAAACCCACACAGUACAUUUUCCUGUCAAACCUCAGCCAUUAUUGUUACGAAGAGAGAGCAGGAACACAUAAAGGAGAUCUUAAGCAGAAUAAAGUUCUAAUCAAAGAUGAAGAUAAUUCAUGAAUUGAAAUAGGUCAUUUUUUAAAAAGUAUCCUCUACAAGCAGAGCUUUGUAAAUUAGCAUUUAAGGCAGUUGAAUGCAGUGUCAUUGUAUUGACCCACUUGUCUCACAAAAGGAAGUCCUUUUUUAUGGAACAGGUUACAAUGUUUCUGUUUUGUUUAAACUAGAGAUACAAGCAUAACUAGUACAGUACAAGCCCAUGGUAAUCCUGAGUGACAGCUAAGUAUGUUUUUGAAAAGAAUGAUUACUUUAUUAUUAUUAUUAUUAUUAAAGGUGCAGUUAAGAUAUGCAGACUGCGCAGCUGUUGGGGCACUGUGCAUGUGAUACAAUCUGGCUCAAGAUUUUCAAACACAACUAAGAAGGGACAGAUAAUAUACAAAAUAAUGGUAGAGAAAGGUAUACCGGGAAUUUUUUGUUCACCACGGCUCAUUACAAGAACAAGGGGACAUUCAGUGAAUCAUAAAAAUGUAGGGCUGAAAGGGACCUUGGGAGGUCAUUCAGUCCAGCUAUCCACACGGGGGCAGGACCAAGUAUACCUAGACCAUCCCCGGCUGUGUUUGUCUACCCUGUUCUUAAAAAUCUCCAAGGAUGGGGAUUCCACAGCUUCCCUUAACCUAUUCCAGGGCUUACUUACCCUUAGAGUUUUCUUACUAUUAACCUAAAUCUCCCUUUCUGCAGAUUAAGCAGAUCAUUCCUUGUCCUGUCUUCAGUGGACAUGGAGAACAUUGCUCACAGUCUUUCUUGUAACAGCCCUUAACAUAUUUGAAGCCUUACCAGGUCCUCUCCUCAAUCUUUUCCUCACGACUAAGCAUGACUUUUUUUUUUAAAAGAACUUUUCCUCCUAGGUCAGGUUUUCUAAACUUACCAUUUUUGUUGUUCUCCUCUAGAUUCCGUACAUUUUGUCCACAUCUUUCUUGAAGUGUCUCACCAAAACUGGACACAGUACUCCAGCUGAGGCCUCAUCAAUGAGGUGUAGAAUUGAACAAUUAGCUCCCAUGUCUUUCAUAUGAUGCUCCUGUUAAUGCAUCCCAGAAACUAGAAGAUGGCAAAUUGAAAACUGAUAAAAGGAAGUAUUUUCAUACAAUGCAGUUUUGCCUUAAAGGAUGAACAACAACAGGAAGUGUGUGCUGAUUACAAAUAAAAAUAAUUACGCAAGA